rnacentral:rRNA from 1 species
AUACGGAGGAUGCAAGCGUUAUCCGGAUUUAUUGGGUUUAAAGGGUGCGUAGGCGGGACUGUAAGUCAGGGGUGAAAUACUGCAGCUUAACUGUAGCAUUGCCUUUGAAACUGCCGUUCUUGAGUACAGUUGAGGUAGGCGGAAUGUGGUGUGUAGCGGUGAAAUGCAUAGAUAUACCACAGAACGCCGAUUGCGAAGGCAGCUUACUAAGCUGUUACUGACGCUGAGGCACGAAAGCGUGGGGAUCAAACAGGAUUAGAUUCCCUGGUAGUCCACGCUGUAAACGAUGAUUGCUGGUUGUUAGCGAUAUAUAGCUAGUGACUGAGCGAAAGCAUUAAGUAAUCCACCUGGGGAGUACGUCGGCAACGUUUAAACUCAAAGGAAUUGACGGGG